rnacentral:ncRNA from 2 species
GCACCCGGCAACGUGGAAGGUUCCCCGGAGACGGGGAUGAAAACGGGAACGGGGUGCAAGACCCCGGCUGCCCCUGCAACUGUGAGCGGAUAGCCGCAUGCCAUGAGGCCAUUGGGAUCGCCCGCCGAUCCUGAGAAGGCGGCAUGACCGGCCUUGACCCGCGAGCCAGGAGACCUGCCUUUCGCCGUCGUCUUUC